rnacentral:rRNA from 1 species
CCUACGGGGGGCAGCAGUGAGGAAUAUUGGUCAAUGGCCGGAAGGCUGAACCAGCCAAGCCGCGUGAAGGACGAAGGUGCCAAGCAUUGUAAACUUCUUUUGUCAAGGGACAAAAUCAGGCUCGAGAGCCUGACCGAGGGUACUUGAAGAAAAAGCAUCGGCUAACUCCGUGCCAGCAGCCGCGGUAAUACGGAGGAUGCGAGCGUUAUCCGGAUUUAUUGGGUUUAAAGGGUGCGUAGGCGGGCAUUUAAGCCGGCGGUCAAAUGUCGGGGCUCAACCCCGGCCUGCCGUCGGAACUGGGUGCCUUGAGUGGGCGAGAAGUAUGCGGAAUGCGUGGUGUAGCGGUGAAAUGCAUAGAUAUCACGAAGAACUCCGAUUGCGAAGGCAGCUUACUAAACUGCCACUGACAUUGAUGCUCGAAAGUGUGGGUAUCAAACAGGAUUAGAUACCCCAGUAGUC